rnacentral:rRNA from 1 species
UCGGGAAUUUUGGGCAAUGGGCGAAAGCCUGACCCAGCAACGCCGCGUGAAGGAUGAAGUAUUUCGGUAUGUAAACUUCGAAAGAAUAGGAAGAAUAAAUGACGGUACUAUUUAUAAGGUCCGGCUAACUACGUGCCAGCAGCCGCGGUAAUACGUAGGGACCAAGCGUUGUUCGGAUUUACUGGGCGUAAAGGGCACGUAGGCGGCAAUUCAAGUCAUCUGUGAAAUCUCCGGGCUUAACUCGGAACGGUCAGAUGAUACUGCUUUGCUAGAGUGCAGAAGGGGCAAUCGGAAUUCUUGGUGUAGCGGUGAAAUGCGUAGAUAUCAAGAGGAACACCUGAGGUGAAGACGGGUUGCUGGGCUGACACUGACGCUGAGGCGCGAAAGCCAGGGGAGCAAACGGGAUUAGAUACCCCCGUAGUCCCUGAGCGGGCUGGCAAGGCGCAU